CUCCACUCCUGAUCCACAAUGUGAUCCACCGGCAAGGAGGGAUGCCAAUAAGGCGUCUGAUAAGAUAAGUCUUAUAAAAUAUAUAGGUUUAUGAUAAUUAAAACUGAGCUAACAGAUGAGAAUCCUAGUCAUUGGCCAAGCUGCAUUGAACCUAAUACAAGUUUCUGUGUAUUCAUUUGGGCCAAACUCAGGCAGGUGGCUGGCAUAAAACGCACAUGUGACAGUGGGACUCCGGUGGCUUUUGGUGGAAAGAUUUAUCUUAACAAUGCUUUAUGGGCAUGAUGCAAGAUGCUCCCCUCCAGUCCGGGCUCCAAAGGAGCACCAACCAGAAUGACUUACUUUCUCAUUCUUAAACUCUUCAUUUGGAAUAAAUAACAGUGUUAACCAUGUGGAUGCUUGACUGUGGUUUAAGACCAUGAGUAAUUUUCUAAGAACAAAAUCUCAGUGAGCUCACCAACAGUAAACCCGCCAGCUUCCAUACAGCAGCUUCCUUGGCUCAGGCUCUGAAAUAACUGUAGUAUUUUAGAGUUCCAGCCUUUGUCAGAACGCAAGGACAAGACUUGAAUAAAAUCAUGUUUUCUGUGGAUCUAAACUGAAAUCACAGCUUAUUGAACAGAACAUUUCGAUUUUCAGAGUUGGGAAACUGACACUCAGAGAGAAUGCUGUGCUCAAGAUGAAGAAGCCAGGCCCCUGAUUAAGCUCACACAGCCAAUAACAACAGCAGAGCCAGCAUCAAAGGACUUGUUCUCUUAAUUGGAUGAAAAGGUUUGACGACCACAGCUGGGAAGAAAUGAAGAUGGAGGACUGUGGCAAUUAUCAGCAGACCUCAUGUCUGAAAUCUUGGCAGCCUCAGCCAAAAGGUCAUAACACAAAUGAAUCUUUCACUGCUAACAAGAACCCAGUCAAGCUGCCUACCGGGACACAAUUUUGUGCUCUUUUCAAACACAGGAAAAAUAAAAAUGAUUUGUGGAAAUAAGCAUAUUAAAAAGUGUAAGGAAGGAUGGAGAGAGGGCUCAGCAGUUAGAAGCAUCAACUGCUCUUCCAGAGGAUCUGGUUUGAACCUCAGCACCUACAUGGUGACUCAUAGUCAUCUGUAACUCCAGUUCCAGGGGACCCAACAUCAUCCCCUUCAGGCCUCUGCAGGUACUGUACAUGUGCGGUGCUCAGGCACACAGAGAGAACGAAAAUAAAUAUUUUUUAAAAGUGCAGUGGAAACACUGUGGUUUAGCAAUGGGUGGUGGCUCAGAUCUGUAAUCCCAGCGCUCAGAAGGUAGAGCCCCAAAACAUCAUGAGCUAGAAGCCAGUUUAGAGAAACCUUGUCUCAAAACAAACAAACAAAAAAACAAGGGCUGGGUAUAUCUUAGCAGUAGAGUGCUUGCUUGUCUAGAAAACAUAAGACCCAGAAGUAUAAUGUUCAAUACCCAACAUCAUAAAAAUAAAUAAAACCCUAUGAGGUUUUAGAGCUCAUAAAAAUGAUCAGGGACAAGAUUCUGUUUAUGUUCAAGGAUCAGUGUUCUAUUGCUUAAGAGAAUUCAGAAUGAUCACUCGGGGUCGAUAGAUCUUAUUAUCACUCUUUCUCCUAUACCUGUAUUCCCAUU
ensembl:lncRNA